GCGAGAAUGAAUCUGAAAUUAGGUUUAGCAAGAACGCAUGAAAAUCCUGAAUAACAUCGAUGCAAUAUCAAAGGUUCAGAAACCCAUCAUCUAUACAAAAGCUAAACUAAAGUUUCAUCUAAUUCAAACAACACAAAGAAUUUAGCCGCUCAUGGUUUCGGAAAAUAAAUCAGAAGAGCAGAGAAGAAAAAUCGGAGAAGACAACAUGUCCUUCGUGGAAAUCUCAGUCU
rnacentral:lncRNA from 1 species